GACGACCGGCGCACGGGUGAGUAACGCGUAUCCAACCUGGCCCAUACCACGGGAUAGCCCGUCGAAAGGCGGAUUAAUACCGUAUGCUGUCAUCAAGAUGCAUAUAUUGAUGACGAAAGGACUGGCGGUAUGGGAUGGGGAUGCGUCUGAUUAGCUUGUGGCGGGUAACGGCCCACCAAGGCGACGAUCAGUAGGGGUUCUGAGAGGAAGGUCCCCCACAUUGGAACUGAGACACGGUCCAAACUCCUACGGGAGGCAGCAGUGAGGAAUAUUGGUCAAUGGGCGAGAGCCUGAACCAGCCAAGUAGCGUGCAGGAUGACGGCCUAUGGGUUGUAAACUGCUUUUAUAAGGGAAUAAAGUGAGUCUCGUGAGACUUUUUGCAUGUACCUUAUGAAUAAGGACCGGCUAAUUCCGUG
rnacentral:rRNA from 1 species